CCUACGGGAGGCAGCAGUGGGGAAUAUUGCACAAUGGGCGAAAGCCUGAUGCAGCGACGCCGCGUGAGGGAUGAAGGCCUUCGGGUUGUAAACCUCUUUCAGUAGGGAAGAAGCCGGCCCUUGGGUUGGUGACGGUACCUGCAGAAGAAGCGCCGGCUAACUACGUGCCAGCAGCCGCGGUAAUACGUAGGGCGCAAGCGUUAUCCGGAAUUAUUGGGCGUAAAGAGCUCGUAGGCGGUUUGUCGCGUCUGCCGUGAAAGUCCGGGGCUUAACUCCGGAUCUGCGGUGGGUACGGGCAGACUAGAGUGCAGUAGGGGAGACUGGAAUUCCUGGUGUAGCGGUGAAAUGCGCAGAUAUCAGGAGGAACACCGAUGGCGAAGGCAGGUCUCUGGGCUGUAACUGACGCUGAGGAGCGAAAGCAUGGGGAGCGAACAGGAUUAGAUACCCUGGUAGUCCAUGCCGUAAACGUUGGGCACUAGGUGUGGGGGACAUUCCACGUUUUCCGCGCCGUAGCUAACGCAUUAAGUGCCCCGCCUGGGGAGUACGGCCGCAAGGCUAAAACUCAAAGGAAUUGACGGGGGCCCGCACAAGCGGCGGAGCAUGCGGAUUAAUUCGAUGCAACGCGAAGAACCUUAC
rnacentral:rRNA from 1 species